CCCUCGAUAGCUCAGUUGGUAGAGCGGUGGACUGUAGUUGGGAAUUAAAAGAGUAAUCCAUAGGUCGCUGGUUCAAAUCCGGCUCGAGGGA
rnacentral:tRNA from 1 species